rnacentral:rRNA from 1 species
CGUAAAGAGCUCGUAGGUGGUUUGUCGCGUUGUUCGUGAAAUCUCACGGCUUAACUGUGAGCGUGCGGGCGAUACGGGCAGACUUGAGUACUGCAGGGGAGACUGGAAUUCCUGGUGUAGCGGUGGAAUGCGCAGAUAUCAGGAGGAACACCGGUGGCGAAGGCGGGUCUCUGGGCAGUAACUGACGCUGAGGAGCGAAAGCGUGGGGAGCGAACAGGAUUAGAUACCCUGGUAGUCCACGCCGUAAACGGUGGGUACUAGGUGUGGGUUUCCUUCCUUGGGAUCCGUGCCGUAGCUAACGCAUAAAGUACCCCGCCUGGGGAGUACGGCCGCAAGGCUAAAACUCAAAGAAAUUGACGGGGGCCCGCACAAGCGGCGGAGCAUGUGGAUUAAUUCGAUGCAACGCGAAGAACCUUACCUGGGUUUGACAUGCACAGGACGCCGGCAGAGAUGUCGGUUCCCUUGUGGCCUGUGUGCAGGUGGUGCAUGGCUGUCGUCAGCUCGUGUCGUGAGAUGUUGGGUUAAGUCCCGCAACGAGCGCAACCCUUGUCUCAUGUUGCCAGCGGGUAAUGCCGGGGACUCGUGAGAGACUGCCGGGGUCAACUCGGAGGAAGGUGGGGAUGACGUCAAGUCAUCAUGCCCCUUAUGUCCAGGGCUUCACACAUGCUACAAUGGCCGGUACAAAGGGCUGCGAUGCCGCGAGGUUAAGCGAAUCCUUUUAAAGCCGGUCUCAGUUCGGAUCGGGGUCUGCAACUCGACCCCGUGAAGUCGGAGUCGCUAGUAAUCGCAGAUCAGCA